AUGAUCAGAAAAUUUUGGUGGGGAUGCACGGACGGAAAGCGGAAGCCACACUGGGUGUCAUGGAAGACAAUAACCCAACCAAAAGGCAUGGGCAGUCUAGGCUUCAAAGAUUUUGAAACUUUUAAUAUGGCCAUGCUCGCCAAGCAGGCAUGGUGUCUAUUGUGAAACCCUGAUUCUUUGAGUGCUUAGCUGCUCAAAAGUGUGUACUACCCCAACACUUCAAUCUUGGAAGCAGCGUUAGCAGGACACCCAAGUCAGAUCUGGAGAGCUGUGGCAGAAGGAAGGGAUACCCUCAAACAAGGCCUGAUACGGUGCAUAGGCAAUGGGGAGUCAACAAAUGUUUGGAAUGACCCAUGUCUACCACGGGAGGAAAUGAUGAGGCCAUAUGUGUGCCAAAGUGCUAAUCCACCGCUCCUAGUGCCACAACUAAUUGAUCAAACCUCAGCAAAGUGGAACUAG
rnacentral:rRNA from 1 species